rnacentral:rRNA from 1 species
GACGUAGGGCGCGAGCGUUGUCCGGAUUUAUUGGGCGUAAAGAGCGUGUAGGCGGUUCGGUAGGUCCGUUGUGAAAACUCGAGGCUCAACCUCGAGACGCCGAUGGAAACCAUCGAACUAGAGUCCGGAAGAGGAGAGUGGAAUUCCUGGUGUAGCGGUGAAAUGCGCAGAUAUCAGGAAGAACACCCGUGGCUAAGGCGGCUCUCUAGUACGGUACUGACGCUGAGACGCGAAAGCGUGGGGAGCGAACAGG